rnacentral:pre_miRNA from 1 species
UGCGUGAUUGAAUAUUUAGGCUGUGUUCCCACUCUCAGGCAUGCUAUAUGUGUGUGGUGCUCUACUCCAGAGAGUAGCAAUCAUGUAUAAUUAAGGGUGAUUGAAACCUCUGAGAGUAGAGUAACGCAAGACACAUACUACACAUGCAGUGACAUUGCAGGUAUUUAGUUGCAUGCA